UCCGGUUGAUCCUGCCAGAGGCCGCUGCUAUCCGGCUGGGACUAAGCCAUGCUAGUCUAGGGGCUUGUACCCCUUCGGGGGUGCAAGCACCGGCGGACGGCUCAGUAACACGUGGACAACCUGCCCUCGGGUGGGGGAUAACCCCGGGAAACUGGGGCUAAUCCCCCAUAGGUGAUGGGUGCUGGAAUGCCCCAUCUCCGAAAGCGCUCAGCGCCCGAGGAUGGGUCUGCGGCGGAUUAGGUAGUUGGUGGGGUAACGGCCCACCAAGCCUAAGAUCCGUACGGGCUGUGGGAGCAGGAGCCCGGAGAUGGACCCUGAGACAAGGGUCCAGGCCCUACGGGGCGCAGCAGGCGCGAAACCUCCGCAAUGCGGGAAACCGCGACGGGGUUAGCCGGAGUGCCCGUGCAUUGCACGGGCUGUCGGGGCGCCUAAACAGCACCCCAUAGCAAGGGCCGGGCAAGGCCGGUGGCAGCCGCCGCGGUAAGACCGGCGGCCCGAGUGGCGGCCACUCUUAUUGGGCCUAAAGCGUCCGUAGCCGGCCCAGUAAGUCCCCCGGGAAAUCUGGUCGCUUAACGAUCAGACUUCCGGGGGAUACUGCUGGGCUAGGGAC
rnacentral:rRNA from 1 species